ACACGGGCUAUUGUUGCCCGGGCAACAGCCCGUUUGCCCUGAUUGGAUUAGCUGCCCCUCUGGCAAAAGAGCCUAAAUAAACUUUUCUUUCUUUCUUUUUCUUCUUCUUUUGAA